rnacentral:tRNA from 1 species
GCACGGGUUGGGGAGCGGUCAAACCCGCAGGGUUUAGGACCCUGUCGCUUAGUGCGUUCAACGGUUCAAAUCCGUUCCCGUGCA